AUGCCAAUCAUUGCUUUGAAGCUAGAUUUUCAUAAGGCCUUUGACAGUGUGAGUUGGUGCUGCCUCUGCAAGAUACUUGACGCCAGGGGCUUCCCACGUAUGUGGCAAAACUGGAUUCAUGUCCUCUUGUCCACUGGCAGUUCUAGAAUUCUGCUAAAUGGGGAGCUGGCCCCUCCCAUC
rnacentral:rRNA from 1 species